rnacentral:rRNA from 1 species
UAGAGCAACAGGGAUUGCCCCAGUAACGGCGAGUGAAGCGGCAGGAGCUCAAAUUUGAAAUCUGGGGCCCCCGGCCUCCGAGUUGUAAUUUGGAGAGGCUCCUUCGGGGGGGAGCGCUGGCCCAUGUUCCUUGGAACAGGACGUCGCAGAGGGUGAGAAUCCCGUGCCAGGCCGGCUGCCUCCUCCCGCGUGAAGGGCCUUCGACGAGUCGAGUUGUUUGGGAAUGCAGCUCCAAGUGGGUGGUAAAUUUCAUCUAAAGCUAAAUACCGGCGGGAGACCGAUAGCGCACAAGUAGAGUGAUCGAAAGAUGAAAAGCACUUUGAAAAUAGAGUCAAAAAGUACGUGAAAUUGUUGAAAGGGAAGCGCUUGAGACCAGACUCAGACCCAGGCAAACACCGCGCCCCCAGGGGCCGUGCAAUUGCCCGGUGCUGGGCCAGCAUCAGUUGGCGUGGCGGGACAAGGGCGCGGGAAAUGUGGCUCCCCUCGGGGAGUGUUAUCAGGCCCGCGCCGGAUGCCGCCGACGCCGACUGAGGACCGCGCCUCGGCUAGGAUGCUGGCUUAAUGGCCUUCAGCGACCCGUCUUGAAACACGGACCAAGGAGUCUAACAUCUAUGCGAGUGUUUGGGCGCCAAACCCUUGCGCGGAAUGAAAGUGAGCGGAGGUGGGAACCCCUCGCCGGGCGCACCAUCGACCGAUCCUGAUGUCUUCGGAUGGAUUUGAGUAGGAGCAUAGCUGUCGGGACCCGAAAGAUGGUGAACUAUGCCUGAAUAGGGUGAAGCCAGAGGAAACUCUGGUGGAGGCUCGCAGCGGUUCUGACGUGCAAAUCGAUCGUCAAAUUUGGGUAUAGGGGCGAAAGACUAAUCGAACCAUCUAGUAGCUGGUUCUGCG